GGUCCGAUGGCGCAAUGGCAGCGCGUUACUUUCCGGUCUCUCAAUGCGAAAAGUUGUAGUUCUCACUGCUGGUAAAGGUUCUGGGUUCGAAUCCCAGUCGGAUCG